ensembl:lncRNA LINC00499 long intergenic non-protein coding RNA 499
GGAACUCUGGGAAUGUAACGGGCAUGGUGUGCUUGUCUGAUGGACAGGGCAGCUUAGGGGAAUAAGUCUCUGCAGCGUUGUAGUGAAGAGAGAAUACGGGACAACUGCAGGACCACAGCUCAGCCAAGACACAACCACAUGACUGAAGACAGAGAUCAUCUGGGCUCCCUUGCAGCUGAGUUGGCCAUAUGACUGACAGCAAGCCCUGGAAUGCAGCCAGAAGUGAUAGAAGCCUCUUUCACACCAUGCUCCUAAAAUAUUCCAAGAAAUUUUCCAAACCUACUCUUUUUAGUCUGUGCAUCUGGAAGUGAAAGUUUUAGAAAGGGUAAAGUCACUUAAUGGAAAGGGCCCAGAUCUAGCCCCUCGGAGCCAAGCUGUCCAACUAGAAAUUCUGCAUUAGUAUUUGCGACCCCAGUAAAAAAAAAAAAGUCCCACAAAGAUGUAGGAUCUCACUUUGCCUGCGUUAAUUCCCUGUCCUUUGCCCAGUUUCUCCUCUCUUGGAAGGCAGAGGCAGCUUCUGAUUUUGAUCACUUCAUGUCCAGCAGAUCUUUGGAGAGAAAAUGCCAAGAGUGGAUGGAGAGGCAAUGGUGAAGCUGAGGCUGAAGUCGGAGGAAGCUGUGAACCCUGCAUGGGGUACCUGAACACCAGGGCAAGUUUCUGGCCCAGAAUGGCUUCUGGGAAAGGGGUCUCGACCCAGCAUUGGAGCUGAAGGAAGUUAAGAAUUAUUGAAACAUCUUGGCUCAAGCAUUGCCUGUGGAUGAUCACAGGGCCAGACCUCUGCAGAAGUGGUGUCAAUCACUUACUCCUUUCCAUAAGCUCACUGCACACACCACUUAUGACACAGAAGACUCUACCAAAGGAAAUCAAACUACAGAACAGCAACAAAACUCAAAAAAUUAACAUUUGGCUUUUGUGUUAUUAAAAUAUUUUCUCAGCAGACAAUAACAA